GAACUUUCCAGAGAUGGACUGGUGCCUUCGGGAACUGUGAGACAGGUGCUGCAUGGCUGUCGUCAGCUCGUGUUGUGAAAUGUUGGGUUAAGUCCCGCAACGAGCGCAACCCUUAUCCUUUGUUGCCAGCGAUUAGGUCGGGAACUCAAAGGAGACUGCCAGUGAUAAACUGGAGGAAGGUGGGGAUGACGUCAAGUCAUCAUGGCCCUUACGACCAGGGCUACACACGUGCUACAAUGGCGCAUACAAAGAGAAGCGACCUCGCGAGAGCAAGCGGACCUCAUAAAGUGCGUCGUAGUCCGGAUUGGAGUCUGCAACUCGACUCCAUGAAGUCGGAAUCGCUAGUAAUCGUGGAUCAGAAUGCCACGGUGAAUACGUUCCCGGGCCUUGUACACACCGCCCGUCACACCAUGGGAGUGGGUUGCAAAAGAAGUAGGUAGCUUAACCUUCGGGAGGGCGCUUACCACUUUGUGAUUCAUGACUGGGGUGAAGUCGUAACAAGGUAACCGUAGGGGAACCUGCGGUUGGAUCACCUCCUUACCUUAAAGAA
rnacentral:rRNA from 2 species